CGCUUUCAUGCAACAAUGUAAUCAGGAUGCUGUGUCAAUUGCACGAACAGAAGAAGAACCUGAGGCUGCAGCUCAGAUGUUAACGGAGGCUGCUUUCUCACGUGGCAGCGCUGACAAUAUCACCUGUAUUGUCGUAAAGUUUCACCAUGAAAAAGCAGAUCCAACUCCAUUCCAACCCUCCCAGUCCCGAAGCCAGCCCUCCCAAUUUCCAUCCCCAUCUCCGUGUCAGCCCCAGACCUCGACCUCCCAGUCCCAGCCCCACCAGCCCGAGCCUGAGCCCGAGCCCCAGCCCCAGCACCAGCACCAGCACCAGCACCAGACUCUGACCUCCCAGUCCCAGCCUGAGACAGAGACCUCCCAGUCCCAGCCCCAGCCCCUGCACCAGCACCAGACCCUAACCUCCCAGUCCCAGCCCGAGAUGGAGACCUCCCAGUCCCAGUCCCAGCCCCAGCCCCAGAAACAGAACCAGCCUCAUCAUGAUUAGAGAGAAUUCAGUUAAACAUUGCACAAGGAAUAACAAAAGCAGUUUGGUAGUGCAAAGCUUGAGAUCUUGACAUGCAAUGGCUCAGACUGCAAGAGGGAAUUUGUUUAUUCAUUGGUUUGUUUCUAGUUUUGCAUUUUUGUUUUUGCUUUGUUGUUUUUAUUGAGUGAACAUGGGACCUGUAACUUUGUUUAUUCCAGCACAUGUUUAUAUAUAUAGUUCUGCGCUCUUCAUUGCAGUAGAGGUGUUAUAUCUGGGUAAUCUAAUUGGUAGUUCAAUAAAAACUGAUGCUUCUACUUUUUCUAUAUGGGUUUUAUAAUGUUCUAGAAAUAUACACCUUAGUUUCUAAUUUUAGGUAUGUAGGAAUGGGCAUGUCAUGUUAUUAGCUAUGUAUGUCAGUUAUACCUGGAUCAUUUUCAUGAGUUUUUAAGUCUUUUAAUUAUCUGAAGUUUUUGUCUAUUUAUGUUGCAGCAGCUACACAAUCUGAUGCAAUGUAUAAGACCUGAAAAGGAAAAUCUCAAUAAAUAGAUAUGAUGAUAGUGAUGCUAUAUAGUUUUUCAGAUUAAUUUUCAACGCAUAAGAAAGCUAUUUUUAUUUUCUUAUUUUUUUAAAAUUUAAUUUUAUUUAUUUUUUAUAUACCAAAAGAGAAUUGGCAGCAUUUUCCUUCUUUUUUUGUUUUGUUUUUUUGGUUUCAUUGCUUUUAUAGUGCAGGUGUUAACAGCUAUACUUUCAUUCAGGAUUACGAUAGUGAGGAGAAGUUCUCUAUUCCUGAUGACCGAAUUAGCCACUUGCUGCCAACAUCUUAUCAAGAUAUGAUAGUGAGGGUGUACUCCAAAAAGCCAAACCUGGUAGGAGUGAUUUCUGAGGCAUUCGAAAAUUUUCAGUUAAAGACAUAUGGAUCAAAGCACAGGUACAUGCAACACCAGAGAAGAAAAAGCGCCGCAUAUGAGAUAAUCAUUAUUGGCAUUGCCUUUCACCUAUUCAUUCUUUUUUACCUAGAAAACAAACAAAUUUCCAGUUCCAAACAAUCUGAGUAUUGCAAUACAGGCCAUACGUCAUACACCACGCAUAGAUGCAUGUGAUUUUUGCUAUUCUGUCUGGUCUCUUUAAAAUUCAAAUUGGAUUAUUAAGGGGGGCUGCUUUUGUUUUGUAAAACCAGAUUGUAAACUCAAUCUCUAUUCUUUAGAGAGAAUUUUUUUCUUUCGAAAUUAAUCACAUUGAACUUUUAAAAAUAAA